GUGAACGCUGGCGGUAGGCCUAACACAUGCAAGUCGAACGGCAGCACAGUAAGAGCUUGCUCUUACGGGUGGCGAGUGGCGGACGGGUGAGGAAUACAUCGGAAUCUACUUUUUCGUGGGGGAUAACGUAGGGAAACUUACGCUAAUACCGCAUACGACCUACGGGUGAAAGCAGGGGAUCUUCGGACCUUGCGCGAUGGCAUGAGCCGAUGUCGGAUUAGCUAGUUGGCGGGGUAAAGGCCCACCAAGGCGACGAUCCGUAGCUGGUCUGAGAGGAUGAUCAGCCACACUGGAACUGAGACACGGUCCAGACUCCUACGGGAGGCAGCAGUGGGGAAUAUUGGACAAUGGGCGCAAGCCUGAUCCAGCCAUACCGCGUGGGUGAAGAAGGCCUUCGGGUUGUAAAGCCCUUUUGUUGGGAAAGAAAAGCAGCAGGUUAAUACCCCGCUGUUCUGACGGUACCCAAAGAAUAAGCACCGGCUAACUUCGUG
rnacentral:rRNA from 1 species